rnacentral:rRNA from 1 species
UCGGGAAUUUUGGGCAAUGGGCGAAAGCCUGACCCAGCAACGCCGCGUGAGGGAUGAAGUAUUUCGGUAUGUAAACCUCGAAAGAAUGGGAAGAAUAAAUGACGGUACCAUUUAUAAGCUCCGGCUAACUACGUGCCAGCAGCCGCGGUAAUACGUAGGGAGCAAGCGUUGUUCGGAUUUACUGGGCGUAAAGGGCGCGUAGGCGGCGCGGUAAGUCACUUGUGAAAUCUCUGAGCUUAACUCAGAACGGCCAAGUGAUACUGCUGUGCUAGAGUGCGGAAGAGGCAACCGCAAUUCUUGGUGUAGCGGUGAAAUGCGUAGAUAUCAAGAGGAACACCUGAGGCGAAGGCGGGUUGCUGGGCCGACACUGACGCUGAUGCGCGAAAGCCAGGGGAGCAAACG